GACGGAAGUCGAAAAGGGACAUUCAGUAUGAAACGUAGUGCACACGGUGUGAGAAGGAAAGCUAAGAACGGUUUAUUAGAAGAGAUUGUUAAAGAAGAAUUGACUGUUAAAGAGAGGUGUGAAAUAAUAAGAAGCCUAUGGCCAUUGCUCGUAGACCAUCAGAACCUGGAACAAGAA